GACGAACGCUGGCGGCGUGCUUAACACAUGCAAGUCGAGCGGUAAGGCCCUUUCGGGGUACGACGAGCGGCGAACGGGUGAGUAACACGUGGGUGACCUGCCCUCCAGCUCUGGGAUAAGCCUGGGAAACCGGGUCUAAUACCGGAUAUGACCUCAUGACGCAUGUUGUGAGGUGGAAAGCCUUGUGCGGCUGAGGAUGGGCCCGCGGCCUAUCAGCUUGUUGGUGGGGUGAUGGCCUACCAAGGCGACGACGGGUAGCCGGCCUGAGAGGGCGACCGGCCACACUGGGACUGAGACACGGCCCAGACUCCUACGGGAGG
rnacentral:rRNA from 1 species